UACGUAGGGUGCAAGCGUUAAUCGGAAUUACUGGGCGUAAAGCGUGCGCAGGCGGUUGUGCAAGACAGAUGUGAAAUCCCCGGGCUUAACCUGGGAACUGCAUUUGUGACUGCACGGCUGGAGUGCGGCAGAGGGGGAUGGAAUUCCGCGUGUAGCAGUGAAAUGCGUAGAUAUGCGGAGGAACACCGAUGGCGAAGGCAAUCCCCUGGGCCUGCACUGACGCUCAUGCACGAAAGCGUGGGGAUCAAACAGG
rnacentral:rRNA from 1 species